rnacentral:rRNA from 1 species
GACGAACGCUGGCGGCGUGCUUAACACAUGCAAGUCGAACGGAAAGGCCCUGCCUUUGUGGGGUGCUCGAGUGGCGAACGGGUGAGUAACACGUGAGUACCCUGCCUUUGACUUUGGGAUAACUUCAGGAAACUGGGGCUAAUACCGGAUAGGAGCUCCUGCUGCAUGGUGGGGGUUGGAAAGUUUCGGCGGUUGGGGAUGGACUCGCGGCUUAUCAGCUUGUUGGUGGGGUAGUGGCUUACCAAGGCUUUGACGGGUAGCCGGCCUGAGAGGGUGACCGGCCACAUUGGGACUGAGAUACGGCCCAGACUCCUACGGGAGGCAGCAGUGGGGAAUAUUGCACAAUGGGCGGAAGCCUGAUGCAGCAACGCCGCGUGCGGGAUGACGGCCUUCGGGUUGUAAACCGCUUUCGCCUGUGACGAAGCGUGAGUGACGGUAAUGGGUAAAGAAGCACCGGCUAACUACGUG